CUCUGCAGAUCAGAUAUCUGACUAGGGAAAAACAAGCAGUAUCAAACCAACUUGAGCAACAUUCUAGCCAUCACGUGAUCACGCCACGACAUGCUUAUUACUUUUUUGUUGAGUAAUAAUUUCAGAACAAGACCACAUGCUUAGUUCAAUGCUUCACUAGUGAAACCCCCGGAUUAAAAGUUGUCUAACGACCCAUUGUAUCAAGUAAUGUCUAGCUUUCAUCUUGAAUCACCAGGAAAAUGCUUAAAUGUCAAUGCUCACUAACACGAGCAACCACAACAUCGACAAUAUCGGUAACAUUUCACUUUAACUUUUCUUCAUGAGAUGGAUAACAAUAAAACAAUUAUAAAUUAACAAACUGCAGCAGCUCUGCAUUGAACCGUAUUUUGAAGUUCACUGUCGGCAUGUAGUGCACAAUUAUUCUACGAGAACUAUUUUCAGCAACCGACACGUUCAAUUGCAGAACCACUUACUAAAAUAAGUCGUUCACGCCGACAGCGGUAGUUGGAAAACCUUGUUUCUCACGCAGACCUUACUCUAAUUUACUAAGACUUUUUUACACAUUAAUUCUUGGACUUGCUUCAUUACCUAAAUUAAUUGGUAAGUUUAAUUUGAACCAGAAUUUGAACAUAAAAAUUAGGGUGUAGGAUAAUAAAUGAAACACAACCUUGACCAGGCAAAGCAUGUAUUUAACUCUCGUUUCAUAUUGGAAACUACGGUAGUUAAUCGACACCAGCCCAGUAAAUAGACGAAACACUCCUUAGGCAGCAGCUUGGGUGGGAGGUGCUGCUGCGAUGUCGGACAUCUUGGCUGCUUUAAGUUCCUCUGCGAUGUGUGUCUCAUCUUUGGGUUCCAGGAUGGAAACAUUGUCUGGCAAAGGUCUCUUGGGUCCGUUCUUGUUGUUGGGAUCCCACGGCAACAUGAUCUUAACCUUAAUACCAAGUACU